rnacentral:rRNA from 2 species
CNGNUUAUUGGGCGUAAGCGAGCGCAGGCGGUUUUUUAAGUCUGAUGUGAAAGCCUUCGGCUCAACCGAAGAAGUGCAUCGGAAACUGGGAAACUUGAGUGCAGAAGAGGACAGUGGAACUCCAUGUGUAGCGGUGAAAUGCGUAGAUAUAUGGAAGAACACCAGUGGCGAAGGCGGCUGUCUGGUCUGUAACUGACGCUGAGGCUCGAAAGUAUGGGUAGCAAACAGGAUUAGAUACCCUGGUAGUCCAUACCGUAAACGAUGAAUGCUAAGUGUUGGAGGGUUUCCGCCCUUCAGUGCUGCAGCUAACGCAUUAAGCAUUCCGCCUGGGGAGUACGGCCGCAAGGCUGAAACUCAAAGGAAUUGACGGGGGCCCGCACAAGCGGUGGAGCAUGUGGUUUAAUUCGAAGCUACGCGAAGAACCUUACCAGGUCUUGACAUACUAUGCAAAUCUAAGAGAUUAGACGUUCCCUUCGGGGACAUGGAUACAGGUGGUGCAUGGUUGUCGUCAGCUCGUGUCGUGAGAUGUUGGGUUAAGUCCCGCAACGAGCGCAACCCUUAUUAUCAGUUGCCAGCAUUAAGUUGGGCACUCUGGUGAGACUGCCGGUGACAAACCGGAGGAAGGUGGGGAUGACGUCAAAUCAUCAUGCCCCUUAUGACCUGGGCUACACACGUGCUACAAUGGAUGGUACAACGAGUUGCGAACUCGCGAGAGUAAGCUAAUCUCUUAAAGCCAUUCUCAGUUCGGAUUGUAGGCUGCAACUCGCCUACAUGAAGUCGGAAUCGCUAGUAAUCGCGGAUCAGCAUGCCGCGGUGAAUACGUUCCCGGGCCUUGUACACACCGCCCGUCACACCAUGAGAGUUUGUAACACCCAAAGUCGGUGGGGUAACCUUUUAGGAACCAGCCGCCUANNUGGGACAGAUGAUUAGGGUGAAGUCNUANNNG